AUUGAACGCUGGCGGCAGGCCUAACACAUGCAAGUCGAGCGGAUGAAGGGAGCUUGCUCCUGGUUUCAGCGGCGGACGGGCGAGUAAUGCCUAGGAAUCUACCUGGUAGUGGGGGAUGACGUCCGGAAACGGGAGCUAAUACCGCAUACGUCAUGAGGGUGAACGUGGGGGAUCUUCGGACAUCACGCGCUCAGCUGAGCCUAGGUCGGAUUAGCUAGUUGGUGGGGUAAAGGCCUACCAAGGCGACGAUCCGUAACUGGUCUGAGAGGAUGAUCAGUCACACUGGAACUGAGACACGGUCCAGACUCCUACGGGAGGCAGCAGUGGGGAAUAUUGGACAAUGGGCGAAAGCCUGAUCCAGCCAUGCCGCGUGUGUGAAGAAGGUCUUCGGAUUGUAAAGCACUUUAAGUUGGGAGGAAGGGCAGUAAGUUAAUACCUUGCUGUUUUGACGUUACCAACAGAAUAAGCACCGGCUAACUUCGUG
rnacentral:rRNA from 1 species